GAGGGUAUAGUUCAGUGGUAGAGGGCAUGCAAGAGGUCCUGGGUUCAAUCCCCAGUACCUCCA
rnacentral:tRNA from 1 species